AUGCAUGAGUUAACUAAGGAAAACAUUGAGCGUAUGAAUGCUAAAUAUAAACUUGCUGGAGAUAAGGGUAGAAAACAUGUUGUGUUUGCACCUGGAGAUCUUGUUUGGUUACAUUUGCGUAAGGAUAGAUUUCCUGAUUUGCGCAAAUCAAAGCUAAUGCCACGUGCUGAUGGUCCUUUUAAGGUGUUAGAGAAAAUAAAUGAUAAUGCAUAUAAACUUGAGCUGCCUGCAGAUUUUGGGGUUAGUCCCACUUUUAAUAUUGCAGAUUUGAAGGCUUAUUUGGGUGAGGAAGAUGAGCUUCCGUCGAGGACGACUUCAUUUCAAGAAGGGGAGGAUGAUGAGGACAUCAAUACAAUUAUUACACCCACAGUCCCUGCUGCUAUACAUACUGGACCAAUUACUAGAGCUCGCGCACGCCAAUUAAAUUACCAGGAAACAGACCCUCGUGGUCAGGUUGAUCGUGCUCCGGCGUGGUCGAUAACCUCUCGGAGUUGGUUUAGCGAUUGCUAA
rnacentral:rRNA from 1 species